rnacentral:rRNA from 1 species
CAACCCUUAUCAUUAGUUGCUACGCAAGGGCACUCUAAUGAGACUGCCGGUGACAAACCGGAGGAAGUGGGGAUGACGUCAAGUCCUCAUGGCCCUUAUGGGUAGGGCUUCACACGUCAUACAAUGGUCGGUACAGAGGGUUGCCAAGCCGCGAGGCGGAGCCAAUCCCACAAAGCCGAUCGUAGUCCGGAUUGUUCUCUGCAACUCGAGAGCAUGAAGUCGGAAUCGCUAGUAAUCGCAGGUCAGCAUACUGCGGUGAAUACGUUCCCGGGUCCUU